rnacentral:misc_RNA from 1 species
GAUGAAGAACGUAGCGAAAUGCGAUACGUAAUGUGAAUUGCAGAAUUCAGUGAAUCAUCGAGUCUUUGAACGCACAUUGCGCCCCCUGGUAUUCCGGGGGGCAUGCCUGUCCGAGCGUCAUUGCUGCCCUCAAGCACGGCUUGUGUGUUGGGCCUCCGUCCUCCUCCCGGGGGACGGGCCCGAAAGGCAGCGGCGGCACCGCGUCCGGUCCUCGAGCGUAUGGGGCUUCGUCACCCGCUCUUGUAGGCCCGGCCGGCGCUUGCCGACACAUCAAUCUUUUUUCCAGGUUGACCUCGGAUAAGGUAGGGAUACCCGCUGAACUUAAGCAUAUCAAUAAGCGGAGGA